CAAAAGUAGGCAACUUAGUUUUUAUUCAUUGUAAAGCCUCCUAUCUUUCACUACAGAGAUGGAUAAUAUGCUUGUCCUUUUCCAGCCCUCUGGGAUCUUCUCUGCCCUCUUUGAAAUCUCAAAGGAAAGUACUGAGCUGACUAAUUGUGCAUGCAAGGUUUCGGAUGCUUUUUCACACUGCUGACAUUUUGGAAUUGUACUUGUCAUCACAUGCUUCCUACACUGGCACAUGAUAUGAAACCAAAUAUAUCCUUGUUCUCGUGUGCAAUAUAGAAUCAGAAGACUGAAAGAUUUAAAAAGUCUCUCUUUUCCAUUUCAUCUGAUUUUCUGCUUAGUUGUGGAUAAUUUUUCAGGGCAAUGUAUUGGAAUUUUUGCGUACUAUUUUCCAUGUUUAUUUUGCAGACAAACAUCUUCAUAUUCAAAUGUUUUUAUAUGUAUACAAUAGGACGACACAGACAGAAUGAGACAGAGGAUUAAGUAUUAAAAUGUAUUUUCCUGAAAGCUGGAGUGUAAGUAUAAACAAAUAUUUUAACAUCUCCAAAACUGUCAGCUUAAAUGUUCUUAAAUGGUCUGAUUCUUUAGGAAAUUAACAAAUCUGUAGCAGAGACAGUAUACUGGGAGAAAGAAAUGUGUGAAAAGACAAAUAUGGAAUGGACAACAGGUGGUUCACAUGUGAUUCAUUCAACAAUUCUCUAUGCUCACUGUAGUAUGGCUGAUAAGUGUGGAAUUGUUAUGUAUUUCCUCUGGUUCUUCUGACAGUCAUGUUUGCCUUUUAAAUUGUUUUAAUUUUAGCAGUCAUGCAUUUUCUUAUCCAUAUAAUGACUGUUUUGUUUUUUUUUCUUUUCAGAAUUUGUGAUAUAACAUAACAUAUUACGUUCAAGAUUUUCUUUAUGAGCAAAGAUGAAGCACACCUUAUAUAUAGUGUGUGAACCAUGGAGCCUUACUCAGAAUGGGCACUGUGCAGCCUCUGAGACAAAGCAAGACAAGGGACAUGGGCAUGGCUGUCAAAGAGAAGAGAGCAGAAGCAUUCUUCAGGAAAUGCAAGAACUGAUGGUCCUGAGCUAUUUC
rnacentral:lncRNA from 1 species